UACGGGGGGAGCAAGCGUUGUUCGGAUUUACUGGGCGUAAAGGGCGCGUAGGCGGUCAGCACAAGUCAGUUGUGAAAUCUCCGGGCUUAACUCGGAAAGGUCAACUGAUACUGUGCGACUAGAGUGCGGAAGGGGCAACUGGAAUUCUCGGUGUAGCAGUGAAAUGCGUAGAUAUCGAGAGGAACACCAGUGGCGAAGGCGAGUCCCUGGACAACUACUGACACUGAGGCACGAAAGCUAGGGGAGCAAACAGG
rnacentral:rRNA from 1 species